rnacentral:rRNA from 1 species
GACGAACGCUGGCGGCGUGCUUAACACAUGCAAGUCGAGCGGAAAGGCCCUUCGGGGUACUCGAGCGGCGAACGGGUGAGUAACGCGUGAGUAACCUGCCCCAGACUUUGGGAUAACCCUCGGAAACGGGGGCUAAUACCGGAUACGACACAGCUUCGCAUGGGGUCUGUGUGGAAAGUUUUUCGGUUUGGGAUGGGCUCGCGGCCUAUCAGCUUGUUGGUGGGGUGAUGGCCUACCAAGGCGACGACGGGUAGCCGGCCUGAGAGGGCGACCGGCCACACUGGGACUGAGACACGGCCCAGACUCCUACGGGAGGCAGCAGUGGGGAAUAUUGCACAAUGGGCGGAAGCCUGAUGCAGCGACGCCGCGUGAGGGAUGACGGCCUUCGGGUUGUAAACCUCUUUCAGCAGGGACGAAGCGUAAGUGACGGUACCUGCAGAAGAAGCGCCGGCCAACUACGUG